ACCACUGUAGCUCAGUUGGUAGAGCAUGGCGCUUGCAAUGCCAGGGUUGUGGGUUCGUUUCCCACGGGGGGCC
rnacentral:tRNA from 1 species